AUGCAAUAGUUCAGGUCAAUUGUUCUUGUUUUUUUUCCUGUAGCGAGUAGUAAAUAAUUUGAACCUGCUCUUAUUUUCCCUGCAGUCGUUGAGGUUGGCUGUUCUUACUGUUUUCUGUAGUGGUUGUUCUUUCUUUUUUCUGUAGUGGUUAAUAUUCUGUUUGUACAAUAGUAGAUCGUCAAAGCCAGUAGUAAUUAAUUGAGACUGCUCUUGUCUUCCCUGCAGUAGUUCGGUCUGACUGUUCUUAAUGCUUUCUAUAGUGGUGCAUUUGCUUAUGUACUUAGUAAGAAAUAGUAACUGUUUUCUCUGUUUGUGGGUUGCAGGUUCCGAGCAUUCAGGUUGCGUGAUCUGAGGUGUGAUCAUUGAGAAUUUGUUUCGAGUCCUCCUGGAUGGCUGGUGUUGUAAAAACUUAGUGGUAGUUUGCAACACACAGCAGCAGUGCCUCACGGUGCAGCAGCUUGAAGAGGCGGCCAAUGGCGCACCCGUGAGGCAACAAUAAACAUGUCUGAUGCCAACACCCAAGGUGGGAGGACCAUUCAACUGACCAAGUACUGUAUGAUGGUAAUAUAAAAUCUGAGAUUAAGUCAUUCAUUCGGCCUGCUGGUUGGGGAGGUUACUCGACAUAUGCCUCGUUGGUCAGCAAGGUUAGAU